AAAACCAGGACCCGUCCCACACCGGACUCUUAGAACACGGCCUUCUCUGCUACUUCACAUCUCCAGCUGCUGCUGAGCCAGCUCUUUUGGUGGACAGCUGCCUUGGGAAAGUGCCUGUUUGCACAUCAACAGUAUGGGGACCAGGGACCCUGGGGUCAGCCAUGGCUUCACAUAAAGGAAAGCCUCUUCCUCCUGAGGCUGGCUGAGGACAGGCGCCGUGUUCCACUCAACGUCUGCUAAAGGCAGGCAGCUGGCAGGGGUGCAAGGUUUUGUCCUCAUAAAAAGGCUUCAAUAAACACCCCUAAACCCCUAGGUUUAUGCACACAAAUGCUAAAAUGCCUGCGUGAUACUUUUC
rnacentral:lncRNA from 1 species